rnacentral:rRNA from 1 species
GGGUUGUGAGGUUAAGCGAAUAAGCGUACACGGUGGAUGCCUAGGCAGUCAGAGGCGAUGAAGGACGUGCUAAUCUGCGAUAAGCGCCGGUAAGGUGAUAUGAACCGUUAUAACCGGCGAUUUCCGAAUGGGGAAACCCAGUGCAAUUCGUUGCACUAUCAUUACCUGAAUACAUAGGGUAAUGAAGCGAACCGGGAGAACUGAAACAUCUAAGUACCCCGAGGAAAAGAAAUCAAACGAGAUUCCCCCAGUAGCGGCGAGCGAACGGGGAGCAGCCCAGGACCUUAAUCAGCAUCAGUGUUAAGAGAACAGUCUGGAAAGGCUGGCCACAGCAGGUGAUAGCCCUGUAUCUGAAAGCACUGGUGUUGUGAGUCCGAUGAGUAAGGCGGGACACGUGUUAUCCUGUCUGAAUACGGGGGGACCAUCCUCCAAGGCUAAAUACUCCUGACUGACCGAUAGUGAACCAGUACCGUGAGGGAAAGGCGAAAAGAACCCCGGCGAGGGGAGUGAAAAAGAACCUGAAACCGUGUACGUACAAGCAGUGGGAGCACCUUUAUGGUGUGACUGCGUACCUUUUGUAUAAUGGGUCAGCGACUUAUAUUCUGUAGCAAGGUUAACCGAAUAGGGGAGCCGCAGGGAAACCGAGUCUUAACUGGGCGUCUUAGUUGCAGGGUAUAGACCCGAAACCCGGUGAUCUAGCCAUGGGCAGGUUGAAGGUUGGGUAACACUAACUGGAGGACCGAACCGACUAAUGUUGAAAAAUUAGCGGAUGACUUGUGGCUGGGGGUGAAAGGCCAAUCAAACCGGGAGAUAGCUGGUUCUCCCCGAAAGCUAUUUAGGUAGCGCCUCGUGAAUUCAUCUCCGGGGGUAGAGCACUGUUUCGGCUAGGGGGUCAUCCCGACUUACCAACCCGAUGCAAACUGCGAAUACCGGAGAAUGUUAUCACGGGAGACACACGGCGGGUGCUAACGUUCGUCGUGAAGAGGGAAACAACCCAGACCGCCGGCUAAGGUCCCAAAGUCAUAAUUAAGUGGGAAACGAAGUGGGAAGGCUCAGACAGCCAGGAUGUUGGCUUAGAAGCAGCCAUCAUUUAAAGAAAGCGUAAUAGCUCACUGGUCGAGUCGGCCUGCGCGGAAGAUGUAACGGGGCUAAAUUAUGCACCGAAGCCGCGGCAGCGAUAUGUAAAUAUUGUUGGGUAGGGGAGCGUUCUGUAAGCCUGUGAAGGUGGCCUGUGAGGGCUGCUGGAGGUAUCAGAAGUGCGAAUGCUGACAUAAGUAACGAUAAUGCGGGUGAAAAACCCGCACGCCGGAAGACCAAGGGUUCCUGUCCAACGUUAAUCGGGGCAGGGUGAGUCGACCCCUAAGGCGAGGCUGAAAAGCGUAGUCGAUGGGCAACGGGUUAAUAUUCCCGUACUGGUGGUAACUGCGAAGGGGGGACGGAGAAAGCUAAAUCAUCCGGGCGACGGUUGUCCCGGUUUAAGCGUGCAGGUGGACUGACCAGGCAAAUCCGGUCGGUUGUUAACACUGAGGCGUGACGACGAGCCACUACGGUGGUGAAGUGAUUGAUGCUCUGCUUCCGGGAAAAGCCUCUAAGCUCCAGGUUACCAUUAAUCGUACCCCAAACCGACACAGGUGGUCAGGUAGAGAAUACUCAGGCGCUUGAGAGAACUCGGGUGAAGGAACUAGGCAAAAUGGUGCCGUAACUUCGGGAGAAGGCACGCUGGCAUUAGGUGAAGUGGUUUACCCAUGGAGCUGAAGCCAGCCGCAGAUACCAGCUGGCUGCAACUGUUUAUUAAAAACACAGCACUGUGCAAACACGAAAGUGGACGUAUACGGUGUGACGCCUGCCCGGUGCCGGAAGGUUAAUUGAUGAGGUCAGCCGCAAGGCGAAGCUUCUGAUCGAAGCCCCGGUAAACGGCGGCCGUAACUAUAACGGUCCUAAGGUAGCGAAAUUCCUUGUCGGGUAAGUUCCGACCUGCACGAAUGGCGUAAUGAUGGCCAGGCUGUCUCCACCCGAGACUCAGUGAAAUUGAACUCGCUGUGAAGAUGCAGUGUACCCGCGGCAAGACGGAAAGACCCCGUGAACCUUUACUAUAGCUUGACACUGAACAUUGAGCCUUGAUGUGUAGGAUAGGUGGGAGGCAAUGAAGUGUGGACGCCAGUCUGCACGGAGCCAUCCUUGAAAUACCACCCUUUAACGUUUGAUGUUCUAACCCGGGUCCAUAAUCUGGAUCGGGGACCGUGUCUGGUGGGUAGUUUGACUGGGGCGGUCUCCUCCCAAAGAGUAACGGAGGAGCACGAAGGUUGGCUAAGCAUGGUCGGACAUCAUGCGGUUAGUGCAAAGGCAUAAGCCAGCUUGACUGCGAGAGUGACGGCUCGAGCAGGUACGAAAGUAGGUCUUAGUGAUCCGGUGGUUCUGAAUGGAAGGGCCAUCGCUCAACGGAUAAAAGGUACUCCGGGGAUAACAGGCUGAUACCGCCCAAGAGUUCAUAUCGACGGCGGUGUUUGGCACCUCGAUGUCGGCUCAUCACAUCCUGGGGCUGAAGUAGGUCCCAAGGGUAUGGCUGUUCGCCAUUUAAAGUGGUACGCGAGCUGGGUUUAGAACGUCGUGAGACAGUUCGGUCCCUAUCUGCCGUGGGCGCUGGAAGAUUGAGAGGGGUUGCUCCUAGUACGAGAGGACCGGAGUGAACGCACCACUGGUGUACGGGUUGUGAUGCCAAUUGCAUUGCCCGGUAGCUAAGUGCGGAAGAGAUAACCGCUGAAAGCAUCUAAGCGGGAAACUUGCCUCGAGAUGAGUCUUCCCUGACCCUUUAAGGGUCCUGAAGGAACGUUUGAGACUAAGACGUUGAUAGGCUGGGUGUGUAAGCGCAGCGAUGCGUUGAGCUGACCAGUACUAAUGAACCGAGAGGCUUAACCUGACAACACCGAAGGUGUUU